CCAGAUAUGUAAUCAGGUUCACCCUUUUGGAAUGGUAAACAUGACACUAUUCAUCACUCACACAAAUAAAUCACUUAAUAUUUUGAUAAUUGAAUUGGUUUUUGCUGUUAAACCGUUUUUUUUUUUUUUUUUUGUAACACAUUGCACUUUAUGUGUUUACAGAUUUGUGCAGAAUUUGAGACAUACAGAAUUACCAUAGGCCCAUUAGAAUCAACAGUCUUUGCCAAACUGGAUCCACACUACAGAACUUAUGAAGAUGUUUGCAUACUGAAGAAGAGUGCUUGGACAAAUACUGAAACCCUCUUGGUGCCCACUACACAGGCAGGGGUGUCCAGACCUGCUCUAGGAAAGCCAGUGUUCUGUGGAGUUUAGCUCUAACUCACCUGCCUGGAACUUCUAACUAAUGAAAUUGAAGAAUCCAAAUGAAGACCCUAGCAGUAUGGAGUAUAUGGAUACAGACGUUGCCAGCAAUCAGGAGGUGAUCCAGAAGACUCGUGGGAAUCUAUUUAAAGCUGCAUCAUUGAAGACAGUUCAGCAGAAGUUGGAGUUUUAAAGGAUAAAGUUCUUCAGGACCUAGCAGUUUACAGUCUGCAAAACCAUGUUGCUGGGACUGAUAUAUGGACUGAACUUGAGCAACCCUCCUGAA